rnacentral:rRNA from 1 species
AAUCUUGCACAAUGGGCGAAAGCCUGAUGCAGCGACGCCGCGUGAGGGACGAAGGCCUUCGGGUCGUAAACCUCUGUCCUUGGGGACGAUAAUGACGGUACCCAAGGAGGAAGCCCCGGCUAACUACGUGCCAGCAGCCGCGGUAAUACGUAGGGGGCAAGCGUUGUCCGGAAUCACUGGGCGUAGAGGGUGCGUAGGCGGCCUAGCAAGUCCUGUGUGAAAUGUCUCGGCUUAACCGGGAAGGGUCAUGGGAAACUGUUAGGCUUGAGUAUCGGAGAGGGUAGUGGAAUUCCCAGUGUAGCGGUGGAAUGCGUAGAUAUUGGGAGGAACACCAGUGGCGAAGGCGACUACCUGGACGAAAACUGACGCUGAGGCACGAAAGCUAGGGGAGCAAAC